UACGUAGGGACCGAGCGUUGUCCGGAAUCAUUGGGCGUAAAGAGCGUGUAGGCGGCCAAUUAAGUCCUGCGUGAAAUCUCGGGGCGUCAACCCCGAGCGUCGGUGGGAAACUGGUUGGCUAGAGUGCGGGAGAGGAGAGUGGGAAUCCUGGUGUAGCGGUGAAAUGCGCGAUAUCAGGAAGAACACCCGUGGCGAAGGCGGCUCUCGUGGAACGCAACUCGACGCUGAGCAC
rnacentral:rRNA from 1 species